GCCAGGUGGGGUGGUGGACGCCUGCAAUCCCAGAGACUUGGAGGCUGAGGCAGGAGGACUGCAAGUUUGAGGCCAGUCUAAGCAACUUCGCAAGGGCCUAAGCAGCUUGUGAGACUCUCCCUCAA
rnacentral:sRNA from 1 species